CUCUCCUGCCUCCCAGCCCCACCUUUGGGCCAGUAUGGAAGCCUGAUCCCAGUUCCAGUGUCCUGGGGUCCCUGGGCAGCCCAGGCAGGCAGCCGGAGCCCCAGCGGGGGGCCAAGCCUGGGGGCAGCAGAUGCGCCAGCCCUCCCUGUGUUCUUCCGGCCAACUGUGGUCAGCAUGCCCGGCCCCAGGCUGCAGAUCAUGUAGCUCUCUGUCUCACUACUUGCCAGUGGAAGACACUGAACAGCCUGGAGGAGUCAGGUUGUGGUUUGGCCUCCGAGUCCUGCCCUGCCUGCUCAUGGGUGCCCAGCCAGGGAGCUGGCACAUGGGCAGCAAUCCUCGCUUCCUUUAUUGCUGCAGACCUUGUUUCCUCUUAGGUUCCUGUGGUCAACACUUGCUGUCUUUGCACUCACUUCCUGUACUUGAAUCAAUGGUUAGAACAUUGUAAUAACCCUGCAGAAGUACAGUGCCUUGAAUUCCAGCUUUUCCAUUCCCUGAUGGAAAGAGGUGUUUUAAAAAAAACCAUGUAUCAGAAAAGGUGUAUUUCAUUUAUAGUUGGUUUGUGCUUUGAUAUCUCUAUUUCCCAUUUUAAGUUGCAGAGAUAUGAAUGGUUUACAAAUCUGAAGCUAAAGUCUGAUCUUUUCUGUUGUACCUGCUUUAAAAAAAUUGAACUAGUGACCUUGAAUAUUGAAGAGUUGCAAAUGCUAGAGUAACUCUGCUUUGUACUCAUAAAAUGAGAUCUCUCCAGCGGUAUGGUCACAGAUAGCAAACAGAUGGACAAAUUCCCUCAACUGCAGUGCCGUGGGCACUGCCAGCAGACUUCCCAGGGGUGCAUGGUUAUUGGGGCAGUGCAUUGCUAAUGGUGGUUGAUCUCUUAGUCAGGACUGUUCGCAUCUGUGUUUGGCUACGUGGAACCUGCUGUAAAGUGCUGGGUGAGCAGACAUGAUCCAAAGCCUGCAGGGCUGCUACGAGUGUGGGAGAGGUAAAGAGGCCUAUGGCCACCUGGGCCUGGCUUUCCCAUGUGCUCACAGGCUGCUCUGCCCACCUCUGGCCUCCAGACUGUUCUCCAGGCACAAGCCAUCAUGCUGGGGGGUAGGAGUGUUCCUCUCCUGGAAAUUUCAGUGGUAUCCUCAUCUCAGACAGGCACCAAACAGCCCAGGGUGGGAGCUGAAGGCCCCGCUCCCCACUGGCCAAGAUGUUUCCCGUUUCCUACUAGGAGGCAGCUGGUUGGGCUGCCCAGUUGUGAAUUGUAUAGUUCUGCUGUACUUUGGGACUUCACUAGGACUGGCUGAAUUCUUUUGGUUUAAAUGUAUUAUUCCAUCAAUUCAGUUAGAAUUGAAUUUUCUAGGUGAUUAUGCAGAAUCUUCUGCCAGGGCAUGACGCUAUAGUAAGAGAUUUCUGUUCUCUGUAAUGUGCCCCUGGGUCCUUGGGUUGAGACUCCUGUGCGCCGGGUUCCUGCGGGUGGUGGAACCUGCCCUCUUCCCACUCCCCUGCUGUACCAGACAUGCGGUUUGGAGUCCUGGCCUGUAAUAGGAAUGGUCAGUGGCACAGGCUCUCCAAGAGAUUGUAUAUUUGAAGGAGAAAAAUAAACAUUUUUGCUUGAAAA